rnacentral:rRNA from 1 species
UCUGGCUGUCUUCGAUAGUCCGAGUUGUAAUCUAUAGACGUGUUUUCCGUGCUGGACCGUAUCUAAGUCCCUUGGAACAGGGUAUCAAAGAGGGUGACAAUCCCGUGCUUGAUACGACCACCAGUGCUCUGUGAUACACGCUCUACGAGUCGAGUUGUUUGGGAAUGCAGCUCAAAAUGGGUGGUAAAUUCCAUCUAAAGCUAAAUAUUGGCGAGAGACCGAUAGCGAACAAGUACCGUGAGGGAAAGAUGAAAAGCACUUUGGAAAGAGAGUUAAACAGUACGUGAAAUUGUUGAAAGGGAAACGAUUGAAGUCAGUCGUGUUCUUUGGAUUCAGCUAGUUCUUCUAGUCUACUUCCAUUGAACGGGUCAACAUCAGUUUUGUCCGGUGGAUAAAGAUAGUA